CUCAAAUCAAUGAAGUUUGAAAUACAAGGUAAAAAUAGGAACUGUUAUUUGAAUUAUGCAUUGUGUAUAUUUUAAGUUAAAUGCCAUUGGCAAAUCUCUCAGAUGUUUAAUCAUGUGCAAUCUGGGAAACACAAAUAUUUAAUUUCACACUUUCAUGUGUUCUUUUUUCUUCCAUCUUUUAUAAAACCAAGCCCCACAAAUGGGGAGUUUACCUUUCAUAGUACAUUGUUAGUUUUUCUCAGCGCAUUUUCGUGGAUUACAUUUUCAGUAAAAUCUUGGAACAUCAAAAGUUGUCCUUCAGGAAAAACUUCAGGGUUCUAAAGCUGUUGGUAGUGGUAAAUUGCUUUCCCUUUCUUUCCUUAUUGAAUCAAAUUACUAUUUCAAUGUCAAAUACGUAAUUUUUAAGAAAAAUCUAUAAAUACGUUUAAGAGAACUACAAAUAAUACUUUAAAACUUCCUUCUCACCACCUAGCCUGACUUUGUAAAAUUUGCUUCCUAACUUGUAUCCCUGAAUCUUAUGCAUUUGCAUUAUAAUGCGUUUAAGAUGAAUACUUAACAGCGCCGAAGAGACUCGGAUUUCAUGCUGUAUUUCCCUGUAGUAACAGGUGACAUGAUAACACUAUUAUGUAGAAUUGCAAGUUUACAGCUACACAUGAAAAUCGUUCCUAUUCUGUUUGGAAACAAAUGAUCAAUCAGCCUCCAGUGAUCAAUUGCCCCCCUAGCUGUCCGUAUGCGCGGGUCCGCAUCCGGCUGAGGCAUUGAGAAAAUUCCACUGGAAAGGGAUGAGGAUCCUAAACUUUGCAAAAGCACCUUGUGCGGCGUCUCAGACUUCGCUGCAACUCCUCCGCUACUCGGGGCUGAAGCUCUGGAUUUGGGGCCAGGCAAAGGGCAAAGGAUGAUUUCACUUCGCCAGCGCACUGGAGUGCUUUUCAAUCCACCAAAGUGAAGUGUGUUUUUCUUCCUCAUCUGUAGAACGAGGGGCAGGCAAAGUGAGCCCUGGCAAUGUGCAUGUGUGUUGUAAGACACAAAACAGGAGGCAAAAGAAAUAACCACCAUCCAGGCAAGCUCGCGCCUCCCGCGGCUUCCAGCAACCUGGAAGCCAGCCCGCGUGUGCAGGAAUGGGGACGUAGAGCCUCCCUUCCUGGCCGGAACCCCUCUCUGCCCGUCUUAUGCACAUCAGGCAGCGCGAGGGCUGCCAAGCGCAAGUUGGGCUCCUCGAGAACUUGAUACUUAUCGAGGAGGGAUGGUGUGCAAAGACGGAGAGAAAAAAAGAAGCCGCUUUUGUGCAAUGGAGAGUUUGUUCUCCUUAUAAGAAUGGGCCCUUCCCUCUGCUGGUGGGCGGGCGGGUUGGUCCAGGACAAACUUGUGAGGUGAGGUCCGGUUAGAGGGAUCCGGUUGUGCCCCGCUGACCCACCUCUAUACGCCCCUUUCGACCGAUGAAACGAAUAAAUUAGCAGCCACCACUGAGACGAACUCUGCAAAUUCCAACCACCAGGGAAACAAAAAGAGAAAACACGUGCAUUUAUUUCCUCGCGUCUCUCAGUUACUUCUCCACACUAUUACAUCAAUGUUUCUUUAAGGGGUGAGGAGGUAUGCCUGCGGUUUGGGUGAGCCUUUUUAAGUGACGACUUGCAUUCCAACUCGACUAGUGGGUGGGGGCAGUGGGAGUUGAUCGUUUCCCCUACCCCUGCCCAGGACCCCCGUUGUCCCACUUCCUCCUCUUUCUUCCGGCUGGCGAGCCUGGAGUGGAGUUGCGGGCGGUGGGCGCAGCCUCCUUCGGGAUGCAGGGCUUCAGCUCCCCUCAUCUUGCGCGCGCCACCCUCGCCCCCUUUGCUGGUGCGGCUGGUGCUUGCCCCUUCUCGUCCUUUUCUCCUUCCCACUCCCUGCGCGCCAAGGCCUGGGCCCCGCAGCCGCAGCCAGGGGACGAGUGGCCGCCUUGCCUUCCGCAGGAACCCAAGUUGGGAUCGGCGAAGCGUGGUGACCGCGGCCGCGCCGCCCCAGCCCUCGGCCAAUAGCGCCUCGCCCGGAGAGGCACCUGCUUAACCCUUUGAGCCUAGGGCGCAGCCGGCCCGCCGGGACCCAGAGGGGCAGGGCGGAUUGGCCAGAAGUUGCCAAGGCCAAGAGUGACACAGGCCGCCCAGCCUAGCGUCCCCGCACACGGUGUAGGGGCCAGACGCCUGCCCUUGCCGCAGACCCGGGCGUCCCCUCCCACCCUGAUGGCUCUCGGGAAACAGCCAACCCGCACAAAGACGAGCCUUCGCCCUGGCGGCGUCCCGCGCCUGCUGGGGCAACCUCUGAACUCCCCUAACCCAAGUCAGUUUCCGGAGGCGCCUCCUGCACCCGGCAGCCGCUGGGAAACAGAGGGAGGGAGCCCCAGCUCUCGCUGGCCGGGCCCACGGCGCAGCUGCGUUUCCAUUUUCCUUUCAAAGAAAAUGCUUUGGACGGCAGAUAAUACCAGGAGAUAUGAAACUGCUUCGUCCCCCACGUGUUGCACGUAAAAAGAAUCGUAAUGAGCAUCUGUGCCUUGUGUGAGGGAUCCCACGAGUUUGUUGAAGACCUAACCGAGGUCCUGACUCCCUCCUUCCCGAGAAGAGAUCAUUUUCUAGCUUAACGGCAUUCAUUUCGGAGAUACUUAUUGUGCAGAGGCCAAACGCAAGGUCUUUGGGCCGGGAUUGUGGGCGUGGGGGCGAAGGCCAGGCUGGUGGGAAAGAUUUGAUCACAGAAGUGGGUCCUCAUCCCACGCGGAGCACACAGCGCUGGGCGUCGCAGGUUGACUUGGAUCUCAGCGCGCUCUCCUCCCUACCUCUCUUGCUCUGAAAAGAUCACAAAUAUCACUCCUUGGCUCUCCGCAGGCUUUCUCAGGGCGAGAAAUGGGAG
rnacentral:lncRNA from 1 species